rnacentral:rRNA from 1 species
UUAAAAAGCUCGUAGUUGAACCUUGGGCCUGGCUGGCCGGUCCGCCUCACCGCGUGUACUGGUCCGGCCGGGCCUUUCCCUCUGUGGAACCCCAUGCCCUUCACUGGGUGUGGCGGGGAAACAGGACUUUUACUUCGAAAAAAUUAGAGUGCUCCAGGCAGGCCUAUGCUCGAAUACAUUAGCAUGGAAUAAUAGAAUAGGACGUGUGGUUCUAUUUUGUUGGUUUCUAGGACCGCCGUAAUGAUUAAUAGGGACAGUCGGGGG